UACGUAGGGUGCAAGCGUUAUUCGGAAUUACUGGGCGUAAAGCGUGCGCAGGCGGCUUUGCAAGUCAGAUGUGAAAUCCCCGGGCUUAACCUGGGAACUGCAUUUGAGACUGCAUGGCUGGAGUGCGGCAGAGGGGGAUGGAAUUCCGCGUGUAGCAGUGAAAUGCGUAGAUAUGCGGAGGAACACCGAUGGCGAAGGCAAUCCCCUGGGCCUGCACUGACGCUCAUGCACGAAAGCGUGGGGAGCAAACAGG
rnacentral:rRNA from 1 species